AUCGCCGGCGAAAGCAUAGCUCUACGCGAACCAAGAAAGCCGAACACCGCAGUCGCGGCUCGCAGGGAGCAGCCCCGGAAGCGAUAGCCAUAACCCGGAAGAACAACUUUCUCAGGAGGGACUUGGCGUGCGGUUGACCAUAGAGACGGGAUAGUCUAGGCAACUCAGAAGUCAGUGGUGAGCCGCCUGGCUUUGGUCACGUGACACUGGUUCCCCAUUUCCGGCUCCUCUAAGGAUGCUUAGAAUAACCGAGUGUUUUCUCUGUGGUUCUACUUGAAGGUCAUAGCAGCAAAUCCCGAGAGAGGAUGUCUAAGGAAUACAAAGCCUUCCCCAACAAAAAGUGGGGACGGGCCUAGGCCCCAGGAGUCCCUCGCCUAAGGAGGACUCACAGAAAUAAAGUCCACACUCAUGUUGAGGUCAGAAGUCUCCGGGUUGGGUGCACGAGUCUACCUUGCUUCCGGCUCCUCAGGCCUGUUCUCCUUGGGUUCACACAGCCAUUUACCAAACCUCUUAGUCCCCACGUCACCGGAGAGAUCGAACGCCCCACCCCAACAUGUCACUCCACGAGCACAAAAAGGUUACCUUAAUGAUGGACAGUGCACAGCAAGGCAGUCAAAGACUGCCCCAAGGGAAAGGUAACCACAGACUCUGGAAAAGGGCAUUGGAUCUCCUGAGACUCAAGUUCCAGGCAGGUGUGAGCUAUCCUGCCUGGGUGCAGUGACCCUAUCUGCAAAAGCAUUAGGUGAUAAGCGAAGAAAGUGAUCUUAGCUGUGAGAAGGAUCCCUUCCAGCACUCAGUGCCAGGCUCAGAGGGGGCGGCUAAACCAGUGAGUCAAACAACAGAGCAGCAUCAAGUACUGAAAUAGGAAGCUUUGCACAUUCUACUUCUCGUAUGGAUCGAUCCCUGUG